rnacentral:rRNA from 1 species
UGGGGAAUUUUCCGCAAUGGGCGAAAGCCUGACGGAGCAAUGCCGCGUGGAGGUGGAAGGCCUACGGGUCGUCAACUUCUUUUCUCGGAGAAGAAACAAUGACGGUAUCUGAGGAAUAAGCAUCGGCUAACUCUGUGCAAG